UCUUUCACCGUUUCCGAAACCCGCAAUACGUGAAACAAAUUACACAAAGGUUAUUCGUUAUCGAUUGCAUACCCAAGACAAAUUUUUUCAUCUUUAGCAUGUGAGUAACAAUGGGCUCGGCAAAUUUAUCACCAUCUUCUUCUGGCCAUAUUGAUAUGUCAAUCUCAGGUUUGGUUUUUUCUUAUAAUCAGUGUUUUAGCAUU
rnacentral:lncRNA from 1 species